UGUCACAUGCAAAACAUAAUAUGCAUUAAGUCAUAACAUCAUGUAUUAAAACAUUAAGAGCAAGCAUGUCAAGGAUCAAAAUCAAUUCUUUUCAAAUAAACUCUCCCUAUUUAUAUAUAAUUCUACACUGAUUUUAUCCUUAAGGUGUGUUUUCAAGUGAUCGAAACUUCAUUUGGCUUUUCACAAGCUUCUUAUAUACUUUCGUUUAUCUUGU
rnacentral:lncRNA from 1 species